AUUACAGACAUGUUUUUCACAUGCAUCCAAGAACUGAAACAGACUGUACCUUCCGUUUUCAUCAAAGCAACAAAAGAAUUGGCAGACAAAAUUUAUGCCGCCCAUGAUCGAUUAUUUAUAUCGCAUGCAUCUCAAUUAUAAAAGGGAACCUCACUUUGUUUACCGAAAAUUCCAGGGCCAUAUGUUGACUUCAUGAGAUCUCGAAGGAGAGGGUACUGUAGGGAGGCGAAGGAAAUGAUUGGGACGCAUGC